rnacentral:rRNA from 1 species
CCCUUAGAUGUUCGGGGCUGCACACGCGCUACACUGGAGGAAACAGCGUGUAUUGACCUGGUCCGAAAGGACUGGGUAAACCUGUGAAACUUCUCCGUGCUUGGGAUAGCGGAUUGCAAUUGUUUCGCUUCAACGAGGAAUUCCUAGUAAGCGUAAGUCAUAAGCUUGCGCUGAUUACGUCCCUGCCCUUUGUACACACCGCCCGUCGCUCCUACCGAUUGGGUGUGCUGGUGAAAUGUUCGGAUCGGCCGUUUGUCGCGGUUUCCGCGUCAUGUGGCUGAGAAGUUCAUUAAACCCUCCCACCUAGAGGAAGGAGAAGUCGUAACA